CGCACCCUGCGGCUCCGGCUGUUUGGGCCCGGCCGGGAGCACGUGGGCGCCGACCCGCUCGGGAACAAGUACUACCGCGUCCCCGAGCACCGCACCUGGGCAGGUGGAGACGCUGUUUGCUGGAAAAGAAGCAAGCCUGGAGAUACUUUGCUAUACAUGCCGUGCACCUGCCAAGAUGCUGAAGUCUCGUGUUACCUUCUCACAGCCAUGGCUAUUGGCUCAGCACUAACUUGUGCCCCCCACUACCUUCCAAAAACAAGGGAGAAAAAGUAUGCAUCUGAAUAAGCCCCACUGAAAUCUCCUGCACAGAACAGUAUAUGUCUCUAUCAAG